AUCAGGCGACUGCGGCGUUCUGCUGGCAAACAUAGCUUCGGUUAUGUCAAUGGCUAUUGGAUUGGUCCAUGAAGCGAAAAAUAGUUUACUGUGUCACUCGUACCGAUAACCGCAUCAGGUCUUCUAGGUAAGUAGCCUAUGGCCAUUGAGGCAUGAUAGUUCAGGGAAUUCGGCCAAUUAGAGCUGUAACUUCGGGAUAAAGCUUGGCUCUGAUGAAAAUCAGAACCGAUUGUUACGCGGAGAGCCCAACUGUUUAAUAAAAACGUAGUGUCGCGCUGUGGUAGUAUAGCCAGUGAACGCGACAUGAAUCCUGCUCAGUGCUGUGUCUGUUAAUAUGGUUCAAGCCAACGAAGCACCGGUAAAUAGCUGGGGUAACUAUGACUCUUAUCAAAGUAGCGAAAUACCUCGUCACUUAAUUAGUGACCUGCAUGAACGGAGCUAUGAGGUUCUCACUGUCCCAAACUGUCUCUCAGCGAACCAACUGUAGUGGGAACGGUCACUAGAUAUCCAGCGGGGAAAGAAGACCCUGUAGAGCUUCACUUUGGUCUAGUCUUGUAUAGUUCCUGCGGGGGUGUAGACUAGGUGGGAGAGCAAUCGAUUCUGAAAAACCACUACCCUGUUUGGAAUUAUGCUUACCUAUCACAAGGAAUAGGACUAGAUAGAAAGUUUUGGCUGGGGCGGCACACCUUCGAAAGAGCAGCGAAGGUGUCCUAAGUUGAGCUCAGUGAGGACAGAAAUCUCACGUUGAGGAUAAGGCCAAAAGCUCAAUUUACUGUGCCUUUUUGUACUAGGAUCAGUUACGAAAGU
rnacentral:ncRNA from 1 species